CCUACGGGCGGCAGCAGUGGGGAAUAUUGCACAAUGGGGGACACCCUGAUGCAGCAACGCCGCGUGAGUGAAGAAGGUUUUCGGAUUGUACAGCUCUGUUCGCAGGUCAGAGGAAGGACGGUACCUGCAGAGGAAGCCACGGCUAACUACGUGCCAGCAGCCGCGGUAAUACGUAGGUGGCAAGCGUUGUUCGGAAUAACUGGGCGUAAAGGAUGCAUAGGCGGGUAAACAAGUUAUAUGGUAAAUAUGUAGGCUUAACCUAGAGAAAGCAUAUAAAACUGUUUAACUAGAGUGCAGGAGAGGUAAGGGGAAUUCCUAGGGUAGCGGUGAAAUGCGUAGAGAUUAGGAAGAACACCAGUGGCGAAGGCGACUUACUGGACUGUAACUGACGCUGAGGCAUGAGAGCAUGGGGAGCAAACAGGAUUAGAUACCCGUGUAGUC
rnacentral:rRNA from 1 species